rnacentral:snoRNA from 1 species
GUGGGACUUUUAUCUCCAUUUAUAUGCCGUAUCCAGAUAUACGUGGUAAACGAAUCCCACAGAGUAAUGCGGUCGCAAGACCUGGAAGUCUGCAGAGGUGGUGCCAUAGACAAGUGUGGUACUACCUUUGAUGGCGUCUGACAUCU